rnacentral:rRNA from 1 species
AUUGAACGCUGGCGGCAGGCCUAACACAUGCAAGUCGAGCGGAUGAGAGGAGCUUGCUUCUCGAUUCAGCGGCGGACGGGUGAGUAAUGCCUAGGAAUCUGCCUGGUAGUGGGGGACAACGUUUCGAAAGGAACGCUAAUACCGCAUACGUCCUACGGGAGAAAGCAGGGGACCUUCGGGCCUUGCGCUAUCAGAUGAGCCUAGGUCGGAUUAGCUAAUUGGUGAGGUAAUGGCUCACCAAGGCGACGAUCCGUAACUGGUCUGAGAGGAUGAUCAGUCACACUGGAACUGAGACACGGUCCAGACUCCUACGGGAGGCAGCAGUGGGGAAUAUUGGACAAUGGGCGAAAGCCUGAUCCAGCCACGCCGCGUGUGUGAAGAAGGUCUUCGGAUUGUAAAGCACUUUAAGUUGGGAGGAAGGGUUGUAGAUUAAUACUCUGCAAUUUUGACGUUACCGACAGAAUAAGCACCGGCUAACUCUGUGCCAGCAGCCGCGGUAACAC